rnacentral:lncRNA from 1 species
GGUAACCCGAUGGUCUAAUCCAAGUAUAUGGGCCCUUGCGGGCUAGAAUUGAUUAGUAGACCUCCAUCAGGUCUAGACCAUAAAUUUGAUAAUGAUUUCGAAUUGAUAAGAUAAGUGAAAAGACUGAAAAUUUGUCUGACCGGUAUCAUUGAGACGUUACCGAUUAUGACUGCUAAUGAUUGUUGGUGAACCUGUGAAUGGUGUUAGCGUUCCCUCUAAGGAGAGUUGAAUUGCGAUUAAUUGUAGGGGCCACAGUGGUGAAGUACGACUGUGGUCAUUAGUCUUCGACUAUGAUUGUAGAGGCUAUAGUGGUAAAUUAUGGCCGUAGUCAUUACUUUUCAACUGUUACACUGUAUAUCGAAUUGAACUGUUUCCCAUUCAAAGAGGUAAUCAGGGAUCCAUUUUGCCCUCUACCUAUAUAAGUUAAAAUGGCUUCGCGCGAAGAAAUGUAGAAGCCGUAAAUGAAUAAAACUGUUUGAUUAUCUAGCUAGGAUUGUUGAUUGAUUUCUCAUGCUUAGAUAGUUUCCUUGAAUUGAAUAUGUUU